rnacentral:rRNA from 1 species
UACGGGGGGAGCAAGCGUUGUUCGGAUUUACUGGGCGUAAAGGGCGCGUAGGCGGCCUCCGCAAGUCAGUUGUGAAAUCUCCGAGCUUAACUCGGAAAGGUCAACUGAUACUGCGGGGCUAGAGUGCGGAAGGGGCAACUGGAAUUCUUGGUGUAGCGGUGAAAUGCGUAGAUAUCAAGAGGAACACCUGCGGCGAAGGCGGGUUGCUGGGCCGACACUGACGCUGAUGCGCGAAAGCCAGGGGAGCAAACGGG